CACCGCGGUUAUACGAGAGGCCCAAGCUGACAGUUACCGGCGUAAAGCGUGGUUAAUAACCCCCCCCCCCGAUACUAAAGCCGAACAUCUGCAAAGUUGUUUAACGCACUCGAAGAUAUGAAGACCCACCACGAAAGUGACUUUAUACCCUUGAAGCCACGAAAGCUAGGGAA
rnacentral:rRNA from 1 species